rnacentral:rRNA from 1 species
AUUGAACGCUGGCGGCAGGCCUAACACAUGCAAGUCGAGCGCGCGGCGGACGGGGGCGUAAUGUAUGGGGACUGCCCGAUAGCGGGGGAUAACAACUGGAAACGGUAGCUAAUACAGCAUACUAUCGGAUAACCCAUAUGGGAUUAGCUAGUAGGUGAGGUAAUGGCUCACCUAGGCGACGCUCCCUAGCUGGUCUGAGAGGAUGAUCAGCCACACUGGGACUGAGACACGGCCCAGACUCCUACGGAGGCAGCAGUGGGGAAUAUUGCAAAAUGGGCGCAAGCCUGAUGCAGCCAUGCCGCGUGUAUGAAGAAGGCCCUAGGGUUGUAAAGUACUUUCAGUCGGGAGGCGUUACCGACAGAGGAAGCACCGGCUAACUCCGUGCCAGCAGCCGCGGUAAUUC